rnacentral:rRNA from 1 species
CCUACGGGAGGCAGCAGUGAGGAAUAUUGGACAAUGGACGAGAGUCUGAACCAGCCAAGUAGCGUGAAGGAUGACUGCUCUAUGGGUUGUAAACUUCUUUUAUAUGGGAAUAAAAUGUUCCACGUGUGGGAUUAUGUAUGUACCAUAUGAAUAAGGAUCGGCUAACACCGUGCCAGCAGCCGCAGUAAUACGGAGGAUCCGAGCGUUAUCCGGAUUUAUUGGGUUUAAAGGGAGCGUAGAUGGAUUGUUAAGUCAGUUGUGAAAGUUUGCGGCUCAACCGUAAAAUUGCAGUUGAAACUGGCAGUCUUGAGUACAGUAGAGGUAGGCGGAAUUCGUGGUGUAGCGGUGAAAUGCUUAGAUAUCACGAAGAACUCCGAUGGCGAAGGCAGUUCACUGGACUGCAACUGACACUGAGGCUCGAAAGUGUGGGUAUCAAACAGGAUUAGAUACCCGGGUAGUC